rnacentral:rRNA from 1 species
CAUAGCGACUAUCGUGGCAUAUCAAUAAGCGGAGGAAAAGAAACUAACUAAGGAUUCCCUCAGUAACGGCGAGUGAAGCGGGAAGAGCUCAAAUUUGAAAUCUUCAAGGUUCUACCUUGACGAAUUGUAGUUUAAAGAAGUGUUUUCUGUUGAAGUUUUCGGUAAAAGUUCUUUGGAAUAGGACAUCAUAGAGGGUGAGAAUCCCGUAUUUGAUCAUUAUUUCCUAGCUUUGUGAUACACUUUCAAAGAGUCGGAUUGUUUGGGAAUGCAGUCCAAAAUGGGUGGUAAAUUUCAUCUAAAGCUAAAUACUGGCGAGAGACCGAUAGCGAACAAGUACCGUGAGGGAAAGAUGAAAAGAACUUUGAAAAGAGAGUUAAACAGUACGUGAAAUUGUCAAAAGGGAAGCGUUUGACACCAGUGUUGUUUUUCCGAAAAUCAAUUACGAAUGUUUUAUUUUUGAGGAAGUUAUGACUUCAUCGGCUUGCUCCUUUCUUUAUGAAACUUUCUUAAUGCACUUUUCGGUUAACAAGUCAACAUCAAUUUCUUUUGUUGUAAAAGGGUAUGAGGAAGGUGGCUUUCUUUUCGGAGAAAGUGUUUAUAGCCUUGUGCCUCUGCAAUCGGAGAGAUUGAGGUCUGCAGCGUAGAUCCUUCGGGGUUAGAUACGUUUGUGCUAAGUUAUAGCUUUUCAUAGACAACUUGUUGACUAUGUUUAGUCUUGUAGCUUACUCGCUGACGCUAUUUUACCUACGCUUAGGAUGUUGAUAGUCACAGCGUGUAC